GUCAGUGUGGCAUAAUUGCUUGAGCAUUGGACUAUGACUCUGGAGACCAGGUUUGAAUCCUGGCUUGGCCA